UACGUAGGUGGCAAGCGUUGUCCGGAAUUAUUGGGCGUAAAGCGCGCACAGGCGGUCCUUUAAGUCUGAUGUGAAAGCCCACGGCUCAACCGUGGAGGGUCAUUGGAAACUGGAGGACUUGAGUACAGAAGAGGAAAGCGGAAUUCCACGUGUAGCGGUGAAAUGCGUAGAGAUGUGGAGGAACACCAGUGGCGAAGGCGGCUUUCUGGUCUGUAACUGACGCUGAGGCGCGAAAGCGUGGGGAGCAAACAGG
rnacentral:rRNA from 1 species